rnacentral:rRNA from 1 species
UAAACUUGAUAGUCCCACACAAACACUAUCCGCCCGGGAACUACGAGCAUUAGCUUAAAACCCAAAGGACUUGGCGGUGCUUUAUAACCACCUAGAGGAGCCUGUUCUAGAACUGAUAACCCCCGUUCAACCUCACCUUUUCUUGUUCCUCCCGCCUAUAUACCGCCGUCGUCAGCUUACCCCGUGAAGGUCUCAUAGUAAGCAAAACUAGUACAACCCAAAACGUCAGGUCGAGGUGUAGCAUAUGAAAAGGAAAGAAAUGGGCUACAUUCCUUACAUAAGGAAUACGAACAGUAUGUUGAAACACAUACUAGAAGGAGGAUUUAGCAGUAAGCAGAAAAUAGAGUGUUCUGCUGAAAUAGGCCAUGAAGCGCGCACACACCGCCCGUCACUCUCCCCAAAACAUCAGUUCAAACAAUAAAUAAAACUACUACAGCAUAAAGGGGAGGCAAGUCGUAACAUGGUAAGUGUACCGGAAGGUGUACUUGGAAAAC